UAGGAUAUCAUCAACGUAAAAGGAAACAUUACGCCCGAUCUGGUCUGCGAAAACCUUGUCCAUUAAGCGUUGGAAUGUAGCCCCUGUAAAGAAUUACAGCGGAGAAGAUUUUAGCGGAGAAUGUCGACAGAGAAGACAGUCGACGGAAGAGUAUCAAGAACAAGGAGUCGAUGCUUGAAGAAGAAGAAGAAGAAAUUAGGUUAAAAUAAUUGGGGACAAUUAUUUCAAAAAGAAGAAGAAAGAACUUUUCUUGUUAUAAUAUAAAAUAAAACCUUACACUUAUUUAGACAAUUAUAAUUGGUAUAUUUUCAAAUUAUACCCUAUCUAUAUGUUUAACUAUAAGAGUAAAGUUUUACUCUUUACAUUUCCCCACAAAUUGAUAACUCAUAACUGUAAAUUGAGUUAACAAUUUGAAAAAAAAACUUCAACCACUCAUAACUUCAACCAAUUGUUUGUUUGGUCUUUUGCUUUUAUUAUUCUCAAAGAAGAUACAUCACUUUUUAUGUGAGACCAUGAUUGCAGUUUUUAACUGGUUGCCAAUUAAUUGAGUUGAUGAUAGGGGUAAAAAAACCCAGGUGGGAGAUCUUUGCUCCUCUUUUAAAAUUUUGCAGUCUUUCCCGUCUUUCUCUAGGAAAAACCCAUUCCAUCAAACCAAUUAACUAGUUCAUCCAAGUUUUACUAACAAACCAAGUUUAUACCCUUGUUUUCUCCAUCCUUCAAUUCUGAUUUUUAUUAUUCUCUCCAUGAUGAUUAGAAUCGGAACAUAGACUCUUUGUUAAUAGAAUUGUCUGCAAACAAUAAAAACAUUCAUCCCGCAAUUAAAUCUAAACAUAGUGAACUGUUUCCAUGAAAUUGCUGAAAAUUUAUCCUGCAAUCAAAUCUGAAUAUAAUUGAACUGCUUCCAUGAAAUUGUUGAAAAUUCAUCCUUUCUGUAUUUAUCAAACAUACCUUUCACAUAACAAGCAUAUCAUAUACAGAUAGUUGGUAUAUUAAUCAAACCAAGCAAUCAAACAACAAAAAAUGCAAGCAACAAACAUGUAAUUUGUAUAUUCCUUUAUUUGAACACAACUCUAAAAAAAACUAGACUCAUACAAACAACAAAACAAUUUAUUAAUUUAUUAUUAUUACUAUUAUUUCUAUUUUCUUAAGGAUUAAUCAUUAACCCUUUCCAAAUGUAUUACUGUUGUGUUUUUUUUUUAAUAACUCUUUGAAAUAUGUUGAAACUAGUUUAUGUCUUAUUUUAUGUUUCUCAAAUAGGUCACUACUUAAGAUUUUUGUGAACCCAUCAGCUAGUUGAAGGGUUGAUGGAAUAUACUUAAGUUUUACAACUCCUUUGGCAAUUAAUUCCUUUAUAAAAUACAAUGAGAUGUCUAGAACCAGGUGUGGUUGUUGGAUUUUCAGCUAUAAAUAUAGCUGAUUUAUUGUCACAGUAUAUUGUUGGUGAAUCUUCAAAUCUUAUCUCAAGCUCUCUAAACAGAUUGCAUAAAUUUUUAAUUUCACUCAUGAUGGCAGUAAGUACUCUAUACCUGAUUCACAACUAGACUUAGCUACUUCACUUUGUUUCCUUGUUGACCAGACUACUAGGUUUCCCGAAAACCAAAUGCUAAGACCUGUUAUAGAUUUCCUGUCUCCUGGUUCACCACCCCAAUCAGAAGCACAAUAUCCAGUUAUGGUUAACUUCUCAUUGUUUGAUGGGGUAAAUCUUAGUCCCAAGUUUUGAGUUCCUUUUAAGUAUCUCAAGACUCUUUUUGCUGCUUGUAAAUGCAAAUCAGUUGGAACUUGCAUGUAUUGACUUAAUUGAUUCACAUAAAAGGUAAUGUCAGGUCUGGUUAAAUUUAGGUAUUGAAGAGACCCAAUUAUGCUUCUAUAAAUUGUUGGUUCCUCCAAUUCUUCUCCUUCACUUUUACUUAACUUUGGUAGUCUUUUCAUUGGAGUUUUGUUAGGUGUGGAUUCAUCCAUUCCAAAUUUAACUAAGAUUUCAGGCAAGUACCUCCUCUGAGAUAAUACUAUAGAAUCUCCUUGUCUUAUGCAUUCCAACCCAAGGAAAAAAUUUAAUUCCCCUAGAUCUCUGCAUUGAAACUUCUUACACACUAAUUCCACACAAUUUUUGACUUCACUCUCACAAUCACCAGUAACUACAAUAUCAUCUACAUAUACAAGCAUAUAAACUUUGAAUGAUUCACUUAUUCUUAAAAAUAAUGAUGGAUCUGUCUUACUGUUCUCAAAUCCAUUGUUUACUAAGAAUAAAUGUAAAUUGGAAUACCAAGCUCUAGGAGCUUGUUUAAGUCCAUAUAAAGCUUUAUGUAGCAGACAAACUUCAUUUGGUUUGUUUUUAUCUGAGAAGCCUACAGGUUGCUUCAUGUAAACAGUUUCAGAUAGAUAACCAUUCAAGAAUGCAUUUUUUACAUCCAGUUGUUUAAGUUUCCACUUGUUCCUAACAUCCAAGGCUAGAAUAGUUCUAACAGUAGUAAUUUUCACUACUGGACUAUAUGUAGCAUUAAAAUCAAUUCCCUCUUCUUGAUUGAAACCCUUAAUUACUAAUCUAGCCUUAUACCUUUCUAUUGUACCAUCAGACUUUCUUUUUAUCUUGUAUACCCAUUUAUUCCCUGUUAGGUUCAUAUUUGGCUCAUAAGGUACUAGAGACCAGGUUUUGUUUGAUUCUAACACAUCUAACUCCUCUCUCAUUGCUAUUUUCCAUUUUUCCUCUUUAUUGGCCUGGCCAAAUGAAGUGGGUUCAGUUUCUCCAUACACAGUUUGAUAGCAUACAAAAUCAUUCAAAUUGGCUGGUUUUCUAAUGUUUCUACCAGAGGAUAUUUUUACAAGACCAGUUUCUUUAAUUUUAUUCUCUUUUGUUAUUUCUUUAGUGGUUUUUGUUCUCAAGUUUUUAUUCUCAGGUUCUGAUGUGUUAUUAGUUUCUGAUAUUUCUAAUAUACUUUCAGAAACUUUCCUUAAAUCUUUACCUGUUGGUUCUGAUAUUGAGAUUGCAGAGUCUACUUUUGAAGUAUCUUUUGUAAUUUCUCCAUUUUCUUUUGUAUGUUUAGCAUUUUUUGAAGUUAUUGUUAUAGAUUUAAUUUUAUCUAAUGAUGAACUCAAACUAGAACUUGAAUUUUCAACUCCUCCUAAACUCUCUUCUAUUGAUUUUGUAGUUUUAGUUAUUACUCAGUGUUCACUAUCCAGGUUUCCUUUUCCAUUUUCUUUAGGUCCGGAUUCAGAGAUUCUGAGUUUAUCCAUCAUCGAGGUUAGAUGUUUAAUAUCAACUUUCACAGAUUUUUCCUUUUUAGGAAGAUCUUGGGUUAAUACAGGAAGAGUAAUAUUCUGAUCUUUACCUUGAGUUAUUAUAGGUAAAGUAAUGGUUUGAUCUUGAGCUCCAUAUUUUUUUUAUUGAUUACUGAAUUUGGUAAGAUAAUUGGAAAAUCAGGAUCUGAGUCCAUAUCUUUUUUAAGUUUAGUGUUAGGAAAGGGUAUUCAGAUUCAUCAAAUUUCACAUUUCUGGAAAUCCAAGAUUUCUUUUUCUCUAAGUUAAAGCAAAUAUAACCUUUGUAAUUGUUAGAAUAUCCAAGGAAUACACAUUUACUUGUUUUAGGUUCAAAUUUGUUUCUAAACUUGUUGUGAAUGAGAGGGUAGCAAGAACAACCAAAACAUUUUAAGAAAUUUCUUUCUGGUAUUUUUCCAAACAUAGCUUGAUGAGGUGAAAUUCCUCCAAGGACAGAACUUGUCAUUCUAUUUAUUAAAAAAACUGAAGUUAAGAUAACCACUGGCCAGAAUUUAUAAGGUACAACAGAUUUUGCAAAUAAACAUCUUGAAGUUUCAAGUAUAUGUUUGUCUUCUUUCGACCACCCUAUUUUGUUGAGAUGUAUUGGGACAAGAGAUUCUAUGCCUAAUUCCUUUCUCUUCUAGGAAUUUAUUUAUCCUAUUGUUUUUAAAUUCACCACCUCCAUCGCUUUGAAUUACUUUUAUUUAUUUUUUAUCAUAUUGAUUUUCAAUCACUUUUACAAAUUUUGUAAACUUUUCAUAAAAAUCAGAUUUAUAAACUAGGGGUAUUACCCAAGUAAACCUAGAGAAAUCAUCCACAAUAGUAGCAAAGUAUUUAAAACCAUAGAGUGAUUUAUCAGGAGUUGGACCCCAAAGAUCAAUAUGUAUUAUUUCUAGAAUUUGUUUAGAAUUUAUUACAACUUUCCUAAAAGAUAAUUGUUAUAAUUUGCCCAAAGGGCAACAUUUACAAAAUUUAAAACUAAGAUCAUUUUUAUUCAGAUGCAGAUCAGGUGUCAUUUCCUUUACAACCUUCAUUGAUGGAUGACCUAAUCUGUAAUGCCAAAGAUCCGUCUUUGUGAGUUCAGCUGUUAAUGCCUUUACCAUUUCCAGUUUUGAUUUGAAGUGGAAGAGUCCUUGUUUGCUAUUCCCAAAGCAUAAAAUUUCUUUGGUCUUCAAAUCCUUAAUAAUAAAACCAGAAAGUAAGAAUUUUACACUACAUUCUAAAUCAGUACAUAAUUUGGGGGCAGAUAUCAGAUUUUUUCUAAGUUUAGGAAUGUAUAGAACAUGAUUUAAUGUGUAAGUUCUAUUAUUUAGAAUAAAUCUCAUUUUACUAAUUUUAUCAAUUCUAAGUUGUUCCCCAUUUCCCACAAUAACACCAUUUGUACUUGUGUAAUCCUUAUAUUCCACAAAGGCAGAAUCAUCCGAAGUCAUAUGAUUUGUAGCUCCAGAGUCUAAGCACUAGUUGAUAUUUCCCACUGUCACAGAGUUUGCCUGAAUGUCUUCAUCAGUAUUUGGAAGUUCAGCUGAAUAGGCUGCAAAAUUUCCUCUUUCAGGACAAUAUCUAGCCAAGUGGCCCAUUUUAUCACAUAUUUGACAGCCAACCGAGGUAUCGAGUGAAGGAGGAACUGUCAAGAGUGGAGGUUUAUCAGUUUUAGGUAACGGUUUAGGGAUGGUUACAACCUGAGUAUGACUAGGAGUAGAGUUAUUUUGUUGAUUUUGGUGUCGACCUCUUCCGGUAUUGUAGUAAGGAUUUCCUCUAUAAUAACCUCUACCUCUUCUGUAAAAAUUGUGGGAUGCAUAAUUUGCAGAGAUUUCACUAGUUUUAUCUUCUAUGUCACUUUUGUUAAUUAAAAUCUCUUCUUGUAUUAGUAACUCAGUAAGAUUUUUAAAGGUCAAUUGUUUCCCAUGUAGUGUAGACUUGAACAUUCUAUAUUCCGGGGUCAGCCCAUCAAGUACCAUCUCAAUGACCAUAUCAUCAUCUAAACUCUUGUACCCUGCAGCCUUCAAUGAGUAUCUAAGACCUUUAAAUUUUUGUAUGUACUCCUUCAUGGAUAGAUCAGUAGUUUUCCUAAGAGCCUUCAUCUCAUUUCUCAGGGUUUGUAUAUGAGUUGGGUCUGUAGGAGACCACUCUUCCUCAAGCAUUUUCCAUGCUUCUGAUGCAGAAUUACAAGCACAGACAUAUGGUUGAAUAGGGGUAGAGACUGUAGCCUUAAUCUAACCCAAGAUUACCUCAUCUUUAUAGAUGAAUUCUUCAUACUCAUGAGUUGGUAGAGUUCCUUUAACAUAAGGUAGCAAACGAUGCAUUUUAAGUGCUUCUUCAAAUUGACUUCUCCAAACGAGAUAAUUCUCGCUUGUCAUUGGAUUUGGACACAUAGACUGUAUACUAGGUCCUCUCCAUCUAUGAUAUUUUCUAGACUUAGCAUCCUCCUCUGGACUACUAUCACUACUAUAUGUAGACAUCUUUCAACUAUACGGAGAUUAAAAAAAAAUUUACCAAAGAUUAUAAAUUGGAAAAAACAGAAAAGAAAGAUACUAAUUAAUCAGGAAAAAAACAGAUUCUAAAUCGGUUUUUAAACAAAUUUUAAUUCCAAUUUUAAACUUAGAUUCCAAUUUAAAUUCUCUUAAUUGCAGUUAACAAAAAAAUACAAAAAAAACAGAUCACAAUUAAAAAAUAAUAAUGGAAAAUAGCAUGGCACAAUUGAAAAUCAGAUGAUUCAAAAAUAGCAUAUCAUAAAUCGAUCAAAAGAAGAAGAAAAAGAAAAAUCUCAACAAAAAAAAACAGAGAAUUUAAAUGUGAAGAAAAUGAAAAAAACAAAUAAAUCGGCGAUUAAAUCGAAAAUGAAAUCGAGAAAACAAAAUCGAGAAAACGAAAUCGAAAAUAAAAAACGAAAUCAAAAUCGAAACUACUAUCGAAAUCAACGAUAACAAAAUUGAAAUCGCGAUUUCUUUCUCGCGAUAACGAAAUGGAAUCCUCGAAAAUUGCGAAAGAGAAACAAAAUUAAUUGUCAAUGAGAAUCAACAAUCCUCGAAAUUGGAAAUUGAAUCAAGAGUCAAAAACAGAAAUAAUUGACAGUGACAAACGAAUUAAAAAAAAUUGGGAGAAAAAAAAACAUAAAUCAAAUCAAAAACCAGCAAUUGAAUCGGAACAGAAUCGGAAUCGAAAUCGGUAUCCCAAUCCUUGACUUUCUCGCGAUAAUCUCAGUAGUGGGAAUCAACUAAUAUUUUUGAUUUCGGAAAUAUCUGGAAAAAAAAUCGGAAAUCGACGAAGAUGAAAUCAACGAAAUCAGAAAAUAAUCGUCAAAGAAAAUGAAAUCAAGGAAAUGAGAAAUAGCAAGAAUGCAAUUGGACUUGACAGUAAGAAUGCAAUUCAAUGACAACGAAAAUAAUAAUAAAAAAAUAUAAUUGACAAUGACACGUAAAUUGAAAAAUCAUCAGCAAGAAAAUCUUAAAAUCUGAGAGCAAAACAAACAAACAAUCUGAGAGCAAAUCAAAAAAAAAAAACAGAAAUCUUAUGAUACCGACGAGAUCUGGAUGAAAUCAAAAUAUCAAAAAUAAAAUAAAUUACCAGGACAAUCCGUUUACUCCCUUGGAAAAAAAAUCUGAGAAAAAACCGACGAGAUCUAAGAACCGGAGCCAAGUAAGAUAGUGCCCGCGAACAGAAAAGAACCGACGAGAUGUGGCCAAGGAUGUGGCUAGCUCUCGAUACCAUGUAAAGAAUUACAGCGGAGAAGAUUUUAGCGGAGAAUGUCGACAGAGAAGAUAGUCGACGGAAGAGUAUCAAGAACAAGGAGUCGAUGCUUGAAGAAGAAGAAGAAAUUAGGUUAAAAUAAUUGGGGACAAUUAUUUCAAAAAGAAGAGGAAAAAACUUUUCUUGUUAUAAUAUAAAAUAAAACCUUACACUUAUUUAUACAAUUAUAAUUGAUAUAUUUUCAAAUUAUACCCUAUCUAUAUGUUUAACUAUAAGAGUAAAGUUUUACUCUUUAC
rnacentral:lncRNA from 1 species